rnacentral:rRNA from 1 species
UGACCUCAAAUCAGGUAGGACUACCCGCUGAACUUAAGCAUAUCAAUAAGCGGAGGAAAAGAAACUAACAAGGAUUCCCCUAGUAACUGCGAGUGAAGCGGGAAAAGCUCAAAUUUAAAAUCUGUCAGUCUUUGGCUGUCCGAGUUGUAAUCUAGAGAAGUGUUGUCGGCGCUGGACCGUGUACAAGUCUCCUGGAAUGGAGCGUCAUAGAGGGUGAGAAUCCCGUCUUUGACACGGACUGCCAGGGCUUUGUGAUGCGCUCUCGAAGAGUCGAGUUGUUUGGGAAUGCAGCUCAAAAUGGGUGGUAAAUUCCAUCUAAAGCUAAAUAUUGGCGAGAGACCGAUAGCGAACAAGUACCGUGAGGGAAAGAUGAAAAGAACUUUGGAAAGAGAGUUAAACAGUACGUGAAAUUGCUGAAAGGGAAACGCUUGAAGUCAGUCAUGUUGUCCAGGGAUCAACCUUGCUUUUGCUUGGUGUACUUUCUGGUUGACGGGUCAGCAUCAAUUUUGACCAUUGGAAAAAGAUUGAGGGAAUGUGGCAUCCUUGGAUGUGUUAUAGCCCUUGGUUGCUUACAAUGGUUAAGGUUUUGAAACCCGGCCCCYYYYGGGCCC